AUUGAGAGUUUGAUCCUGGCUCAGGAUGAACGUUGGCGGCGUGUCUAAGGCAUGCAAGUCGUGCGAUCGGUCCAGUCCUACUUUGUAAAUGUUUUACGGUAUAGCAAAAUUUAAGCCGCGAGGCGCCUUACGGCUCCAGACGGUGCUUUACUAAAAAACGUUGCCAGAGCAGGACUGGAUACGGAGCGGCAAACGGGUGAGUAACACAUUAGUAAUCUACCUUCGAGACGGGGAUAGCUCAUCGAAAGAUGAAUUAAUACCCGAUAGUCAUGGGGGGACAAAAGUCAUUCCCAUGUAAACCUACGGGGCUCGGAGAGGAGCUUAUGUCUGAUUAGCUAGUUGGUGGGGUAAUGGCCUACCAAGGCUCUGAUCAGUAGCAGGCGUGAGAGCGUGACCUGCCUCACUGGGACUGAGACACUGCCCAGACUCCUACGGGAGGCUGCAGUCAAGAAUAUUCCGCAAUGGACGAAAGUCUGACGGAGCGACGCCGCGUGCAGGAAGAAGCCCUUCGGGGUGUAAACUGCUUUUAUAUGGGAAGAAUUCGUGACGGUACCAUAUGAAUAAGAGGUUGCUAACUCUGUGCCAGCAGCAGCGGUAAUACAGAGACCUCAAACGUUAUCCGGAUUCAUUGGGCGUAAAGCGUCCGCAGGUGGUUUGUAAAGUUAAUGGUUAAAUCCCGGAGCUUAACUCCAGGACUGCUGUUAAAACUCACAGACUCGAGGUUGGGAGAGGCAAGCGGAAUUCUCGGUGUAGUCGUAAUAAGCGCUGAUAUCGAGAAGAACACCAAAGGCGAAGGCAGCUUGCUAGAACAUACCUGACACUCAUGGACGAAAGCGUGGGUAGCGAAUGGGAUUAGAUACCCCAGUAGUCCACGCCCUAAACUAUGUGCACUAGAUAUUGGAAGUAUCGACCCUUUCAGUAUCGUUUAAAAAAGCUAACGCGUUAAGUGCACCGCCUGGGGAGUACGGCCGCAAGGUUAAAACUCAAAGGAAUAGACGGGGACCCGCACAAGCGGUGGAUCAUGCGGUUUAAUUCGACGAUACGCGGCGAACCUUACCUGGGCUCAACUACUAGCUGCAAACUACCCGAAAGGGAAGUUGCCUUCGAGGGUGCUAGAUAGGUGCUGCAUGGUUGCCGUCAGCUCGUGCCGUGAGGUGUACCCUUAAGUGGGGUAACGAGCGCAACCCUCGUUGUGUGUUAAAUUGUACACGCAAGACUGCCUGCGCAAGCAGGAGGAAGGUGGGGACGACGUCAAAUCAGCAUGGCUCUUACGUCCAGGGCGACACGCAUGAUACAAUGGUUGGUACAACGGGUAGCGAAGCCGUGAGGUGUAGCCAAUCCCUAAAAACCAAUCCCAGUUCGGAUUGAAGGCUGCAAUUCGCCUUCAUGAAGUUGGAAUCGCUAGUAAACGCGCAUCAGCCACGGCGCGUUGAAUACGUUCUCGGGUCUUGUACUCACCGCCCGUCAUACCACGAAAGUUGGCAGCACCCGAAGGCCCUUUAUAGGGACCAAGGUGAGGUCAGUAAUCAGGGUAAAGUCGUAACAAGGCAUCCGUAGCGGAAGCUGUGGAUGGAUCACCUCCUUUCUGGAGUA
rnacentral:rRNA from 4 species